rnacentral:rRNA from 1 species
CGAACGGGUGAGUAACGCGUGAGGAACCUGCCUCAAAGAGGGGGACGAACAGUUGGAAACGACUGCUAAUACCGCAUAAGCCCACGGGUCGGCAUCGACCAGAGGGAAAAGGAGCAAUCCGCUUUGAGAUGGCCUCGCGUCCGAUUAGCUAGUUGGUGAGGUAAUGGCCCACCAAGGCAACGAUCGGUAGCCGGACUGAGAGGUUGAACGGCCACAUUGGGACUGAGACACGGCCCAGACUCCUACGGGAGGCAGCAUG